UACGGAGGGUGCAAGCGUUAUCCGGAUUUAUUGGGUUUAAAGGGUCCGUAGGUGGGACUGUAAGUCAGUGGUGAAAUCUUUCGGCUCAACCGAAAAACUGCCAUUGAUACUGCAGUUCUUGAGUAUACUCGAGGUAGGCGGAAUGUGUCAUGUAGCGGUGAAAUGCAUAGAUAUGACACAGAACACCGAUAGCGAAGGCA
rnacentral:rRNA from 1 species